rnacentral:rRNA from 1 species
CCUACGAGUGGCAGCAGUGAGGAAUAUUGGUCAAUGGACGCAAGUCUGAACCAGCCAUGCCGCGUGCAGGAAGACGGCUCUAUGAGUUGUAAACUGCUUUUGUACGAGGGUAAACGCAGAUACGCGUAUCUGUCUGAAAGUAUCGUACGAAUAAGGAUCGGCUAACUCCGUGCCAGCAGCCGCGGUAAUACGUAGGAUUCAAGCGUUAUACGGAUUUAUUGGGUUUAAAGGGUGCUGAGGCGGUCGGAGAAGUUAGAGGUGAACUCCCGAGGCUCAACUUCGGAAUUGCCUCUGAUACUGUUCGGCUAGAGAGUAGUUGCGGUAGGCGGAAGGUAUGGUGUAGCGGUGAAAUGCUUAGAGAUCAUACAGAACACCGAUGGCGAAGGCAGCUUACCAAGCUACUUCUGACGUUGAGGCACGAAAGCGUGGGGAGCAAACAGGAUUAGAUACCCUUGUAGUC